CACAAGCUGUUUCAGCCCCAGCUGUUGCAAGCAGGAUGAGCAAGCCAGAAUAUUCACCUGGCCAUCCACUCCAGUAGUGACAAGAAUUCCCGUCUUCUUCCCUUUCACUCUGCACUGGGAAGUAUGAGAAGAUGAUCAGAAGAGGAGCAGAAAGUACUCCAUUAUCCAGCACCAACCAUCUGAAGACUUUGGUGUCAGGCCCCUCUUCUGUAAGGCUGCUGCUGUUGGCUGGGGUUCCAUUCCAGGCCCUAUUUGCCUGGUCCUUCCCGCACUUGAAGGUGUCACGCAUGGAGGCUGCAGAACAGCACAGAUGGCUGCCUGCUCCUUCCUCUGGGAUCUCUGUCCACACAGAGCACUGACCUGAUGCCAGUGGAAACACUACUGUGUAAGGUUGUACAGAUCUAUGGAAAAGCCAAGCUGCCCUGACAGGGUAGCACAACCUCUCACUGCCUCCCUUGGCUGCCAGUAGGAGCUCCCCUUUCCCUCUGUGGAUCUCAGGUAGGUUGUUGCACCACCCUGCUAUUUCUUUGCUCUCCACGGGUCAUGCCAACUGCCUAGUCAGUCCUAAUGAAAGAACCUGAUACCUCAGUUGCCGGUGCGGGAUUCACUUGCCAUUUUGAUUCUUCUCUGUGGGAGCCUCCACCACAGCUGUUUCUAGUCAGCCAUCUUGGCCCCUCCCCCACAUUAUUUUCUUAAUGUUCCAAUAUGGUUUUGCUCAGUUCCCUAGAUUUUCCUAUUCCUGUCUUUGGACAGAGAGAACCAAUGUUGGUAUCUCAUCUAUAUCAUGUUCUAAAAUCAAUAAUGGCUACUGGCAUUUAUUCUAACUGGCCUCUUUACUGACAGUUUCAUAGCCUGGGAAAGGAAUUGGAGCAUAAGAAAUGUACUGUUCUCUCAUAUUUAGAGCUCAUUCAAAGCCCCAGUAGAUUCUAAGUCAUUGGGAAAUCAUCAGUGUAUCUCUGUGCAUUGCCACAUCUUUAUAAUCUUUAGGCAGAAUUUAUCCAAAUUGAUGCAUUGGUAUCCAAAGAUGGUGAAUAAAAAUGCAAACUAGAUGGGUACACAUUACUCAUUUACCCAAUAUUUAAUACUAGAAGUCUGGUGCAUAUUACUCCAAAUUUUAUCCAAUUGCUUUUAUCUCAAGUUUAAAAUGACUCACAAAUAUUCAUAUAAUUAGAAAGUCCAAUUAUUUCAGUUAGAUGUAUAUUCAUAUAAUUAGAAAGUCCAAUUAUUUCAGUUAGAUGUGUGCUUAGCAGAAGGUGUCUAAGACCAAACAAAAAUCUAUUUGUGCACAUUAAAAGAUUCUGCAUUUUCCCAUUUUCUGUGAUCUUGUAUGUAUUUUAAAUACUAAAGGAUUAAGAAGCUUUAAAAAAAAGAUUGUCAAGGGUUAACCUGCAUACAUAAAUAAAAGUGUUAAUCUGAGAGAAGAAGAUUUGAAUUAGAAAUGAGAUAAUUAAAAGUGAAGAUAUAAUGGAACAAAUAAGUAGAUAAGGAUGAAAUAUUUAGGGCUACCAAUGAAGACAGUCUUAAUAAGUUUACCAUGCUAUCUCAUUGAUUAACUUAGUGCCUACAAAUUGCAUAUUCUUAGUGGAAACAGUAGGAAGUCUAUCAGUAAUGUGGUGUAAAAUAAGAAAGCCAACCAGCACUUUACUUGAUACAAUAUAUUUGGGCCAAUCACCAAUGAACCAUGACAGUAGAAACCACAUUUUUAAAUUAAUUAAUUAAUGGUGUGCCCUUUAAAUGACCCUGGUGUCUUUGAUAUUACUUUCAUGGCUCUUUACAUUCUAGCUCUUGAUCGCCUUUCACACAGUUUUCAUAAUGGGCAUUAGUCUGUAUUGCUUCAUUUGCACGCAGAGGAGGCAAUCUCUGCAGUAAAGCAAUAGGGGAUGCAUUUCCUGUUCUCCAAUGUGACUUCUUUUGCAUGAGGUCCCAGGAGCAAACUGGGGACUAUAAUUUCUUUAAAAUGGAUGUAAUAAUAUUUCCACAUCUAUUACUUUGAAAUGCUGAGUGUGUAAUUAUUCCAUCUAAUAGGAAUAGGACAUCUUGGUGUUAUAAAAUUAAUAUAAUUCAUGUUGGAAAGUACACCAAGUGUUUAAAAUUAUUACCACUAUCUUAAGUCUUAUUUCUAAGUCUCAUUUAUUUUCUAUCAAUAAAAGUAUUUGACUUCCCUUUUUUGUUCCGAGCUACUUAGAGAGGGACUUUAAUAGUGAGCUGUUGUCUUUGUCAUCAGGUUAUAUAUUUUUUUUAGUAUAUUUUAUUCCCAAAAACAAGCAGUUUUCCAAAAAUACUUAAAUGUUUCUCAAGAGUUUUAAAUACUCCCUGGCUAUACCUAAGAACACUGUGACUCUAUACAAAUAAAAUUUCACAUAACUUUGGAUGGAUGCUUUACUAUUCUGUUUUCAGUGUGUUGAUCCAAAAAUAACCAUUAAAAAAUGUCUACAUCACCUGGUUAAUUCAACAGCGUUGAAAAGACACUGUCUCCAUCAGGGUCUGGCCUAUUGUGUCCUACCCCAGGUGACUUGUCUUAUAAAGACAGUCCAGAUGGCAUGUUCUGCCUGUUUCCCUAUACCUGAUAGUGAAGCUGCAAGAAUGAGAAAGUAUCUGUGAAGUGUUUUGAGAUUUCCAGGUGAAAAGAAAUCUAUAAGUGAAAAGCAUCAUUGUUAUUAUAAAUGGAAAUAUCACGAAUGCCUGGGAGGUAAUUCUAGAGUCCUGAUCAUUUUCCAAAACAUAGCAGUGCCCUUUUCCUCCCACUAUCCAUGAUCAAACAAAGAGAAAGCUCUCUCCUUUUAUCCACCAAAGUGGAUGUAGGGAAAACUUAAACAUUUGUGCUUUGGAUAUUGUAUUAUAGAUGUCCCUAACUGGCUGCAUAUAAAUGAACAUUUACUUUGACAGGUCGUUCAAUAUGUUCCAUGCUGUCCAGCCAACAUACAGUACGAAAUGAAAUUACAGGGCAGCACUUUCUAUCAGUAGGAAUAUAUAAUUACAAUGUAUUUACCAUGUGUAUACCUGGAAGCUUUAUUAAAUUACCAUGUAAUUAAAAGGCAGUAUGUCCUUCACUCAAGCUGCUACUUUUCCCAGUAUGUGUGGAAGGUUCCUAUAAAUGUUAAAGAAACACUGAUAUUUUAUAUAGCCGUUGAGAACACAGAUGAAUAAUCUAAAAGUAAGUGAAUGCAGGUUGUUUUUAUUAACCAUUCAUUGGACUUUAAUUAAUUCCCAUUUUAAUUGUUUCAUUAUUUCAGGCAAAAGAAGAUAAUGCUCUUUCUGGUGACCAAUCACUCAGUUGGAUAACUUGAGUUGACAUAUGGAUACCAUGCCAGAAAAGGACUCUAACUUCAGAAAUCAAAACCAACUGGGACUAUUAGGUGAUGUAACAGCAGUAACUGAGUCUCCUUAAUGACCAAGUAGGGACUGGGAGGCAAGUAUAUUUGGUAUGCAAAUAGAUUAUUUCUUCUGGGGCCUAUGUAUCAAUACAAUCAGUACAUACAAUGCAUAUAUAUGUCACUCACAGGUUAUAAGUUAUUUCUAAUUUAUAAUCAGAUAUCAAUUAUAUCAAUUCUAUUUUCCCUUCAAGGAGCAAAUGUACAAGUUUUAAAACAAAGUAAGGCUGGUGCUGUUUUCUAUUUAUGUUAUUUCUUUCUUUAUUUUGUUAUGUGAUUGAUUGGCUUUUUUGCCCUGGGUCUUUAUGGCUGUGGACCCAGGAAAUGCAUAAAAUGAUGCCCUUGAUAGGUGAAUCUAUGUUAAGCUGCUGUGAGACAUGCCUGGUCACUCAAGCUGUGCUGUAUUCCAAUAGAACUUUGGUGAAAAUUUCCUCAUUUAAAAAGUCUUAUGUACCAUAUUGUGGUAAUAUCCAGGUCAAUGUGAAAGUUAAACAGCAAAACUUAUUAAAAAGUGGAAACCUUUUAUGGCUAUUUGCUGGUUUGUAGCAUUUUAAUUUUUCCCCUUUUCUUUUUCUAAAUAGGUGGCAAGAUAUAUUGCAUCCAAGCUGAGAACUUAAGAAAACUACCCAUAAUGACAUCACAAUUAUAUGUGUUGCUUCAAUUAUUAGUUUACUCAAUCACCAGUUCCCAGAAGAUAUUAUUGAAAGGGUUACAUUAUUGAAAUGCUAAACAAAGGUGGUACUUGGUACCAUAUGUACUUGAGAAAACAAAAUCUGACUGGUAGGAAAUUUUUAUGCGUGCCAUUCCUCUUUGAACUUGACAUUAGGUCUGUUUGUUACACAAGAAUAUAUCUGAGUCCUGUCUGAGAUAAAGGAUACUACUCUGAAGAUGCAAAGAAUAUGUGGACCUUAAGCUGGCCUUACAAUACUCUUUUCUUGUUUUAACGUAUUGCAAGUCAAAUUUAGCCUGACAUUUUAUCAGAUUGUUUAAUUUCAGGAAUAUGCAUCCAAUCAUUCUGAUGGCUCUUUCUUUAAAAUUCUCCAUGAUUUUUUCUUUUUUUUUUAAAUUAAGUUGGCAGAACAGAGAUCCAACCCUUAUUUUCAGUAAAAUCAAAGCAAUUGCUGAUUAGAAAAAAGGGAAGAAACAUUCAAACCUCAUGAUGAUAGAUGAUAUUACCAACCUUGAGCUUCAUAUAGUUACCCCCUAAGUUCCUUAGCAAUGGAUAGAUUGAAGCAUCCUUUAAAUCCCGUUCCCUUUUCUAGUUUGAGUAAUUGUUACAAUGAGAUUGCCUAGCGUAUUUGUCUCCAGAAGUCACAUGUACCAUAUCUUCAGGCAUCAAAACCUUGGUUUGCAUAUGCAAAAUGUCCCAAAUUUGAUAUAGUUCAGAAUCACAUACAAAAGUUAUGAGGCCCUAGUGUAAAACUUCUGGAAUGGUGGAAUGAAAAUCUUUAUAAAUCAGCUCCUCAUAAAGCAAUUAAAUUUCUGGCAACAUUGUCAAAAUCAAAAUUUUCACAACUCAGGAAAUUAAAAACAAAAUCAAUAGACACUGUCUCAGCAGGCAUCCAGAUGCUGGACUUAGUAUACAAGACUUUACAUUUGACUCUUAUAAAUAUGUUUGAAGAGCUAAGAAAACAUUGCCUAAAAUAUGACAAUGAUGUCUCACCAAAAAGAGAAUCCUGGUUAAGAGACAGAAAUUUGUAAAAGAACCAAAUAUGCAUUCUUGAAAAAUGAGGCAUUACCAAUCUUAUAAAAAUAAAAUGAAUUAUAACAAAAUAAUAUGACACAUCAAAAUCAUCACUAUCCAAAGACAAAUACAAAGAGAGGAUUUUGAAAGCAGCAAAAGUGGAGACUCAUCACAGACAAGAGAUCCUUAAUAUGAUUAGCAGGUAUUUAUAACCAGAAACCAUGAAGGCUGUAAGGAAGUGGGAAAACAUAUUUAAAAUGAAGAAAAAUUUUAAAAAUCAGGAAUUCUCUACUCAGCUAUUAUCCUUGGAAAAUGAAACAAAAUUAUCCUUGGAAAAUGAAACAGAAAUUAAGACAUUCCUGCCACUAACAGAUAUUCCCUACAGGAAAUACUAGUGGGAUCUCAUCAAGCCAACAUGAAAGUAUGCCUGAAUCCAAAUGAUAAAAUUAAGCAUAUCAGUGUGGCAGGCUGAAUAAUAGCCCCUAAAGAUAUCAAUUUCUUAACCCCUAGAACCUGUAAAUGUCGCUCUAUUUGACAAAAGGACUUUGCAAUGUGUUUAAAUAAAGAAUCUUGAGAUGGAAAAAGUAUACUAGAUUACUAGGUAGGCUCUAAUUAUAAUCACAAGUAUUUUUAUAAGAGGCUCUAAUUAUAAUCACAAGUAUUUUAUAAGGAAGACUCGACUACAUAGGCUGAGAAGGCAAUGCGAUGAUGGAAAACAGAUUGGAAUGAUGCGCUACGAAGACAAAGGAAGAGGCCACAAGCCAAGAAAUAGGGUGGGCCACUAGAAGCUGAAAAACUCAAGGAAAAAGAUUCUCACCUCAGAGCCACUAGAAAGAACUGGGCCUGCCAAGAAAUGUACUUUGGCCAGGGAAACUGACUUCAAGCUUCUGAUCUCCAGAAAUGGGAUAGAACAAAUGUAUGUUGUUUUAGGCCACCAACUUUGUGGCAAUUUCUUGCAGGUCAAUAUAGAUAAAUAUAAAGGAGAGUAAGUAUAAAUAUAUAUUUGUAACUCUUCUGUCCGAUUUAAAAGGUAGCUGUAUAAAGCAAUAACUAUAAAAACUCUGUUGGGUUCUACUGUAUAAAAUUGCAAUAUGUAUUACAGAAACAGCACUAAGGAAAUUGAAAGGAAUGGGGCUAUAUGGAAAAAAUUCUGUAUACUACUGAAAUUAAAUUAGUAAUAAAACUAGAUUUUUUUUUGUUAAGAUGCUAAUUGUAAUACCCAAGGCAACGACUAGGAAAAUAACUAAAAUAUACAGAAUUAAAGAAACAACAACAUAAUUAAAAUAGUAAACUAGAACAUACCUAGUUGACAUUCAAAAAUUCAGUAGUGUAGAAAUGGAGAAACAAAAAAGGCAGGACAUAUAGAAAACAAUCGGAAAAUAGAAGACAUGAGUCCUAAUUUAUCAGUAAUUAUAUUAAAUUAUCUCAUUGUUUCUUUUAUUCAUAUUUUUAAUUAUUAUCUUAGUGGCUGCCUUGAAUAUUAUAAUUAGUAUCUAUAUAUCACCACAUGAAGUAAAUCUAAAUUAAUGUUGACUGUACAAAAUACUCUUACUGUCCUAUCAGGUUUAAAAUACACAUAAAAAUAAAAUAUGUCACAAGAACACCACAGGUGAUGGUGAAAUGAAAUAAAAAUAUUUUAGUAUCUCAGUAUUGCCUGAGGUAAUAAAAGAAUAAAGUUUAGGUUUCCACUUGGGGAAACAUAAUGAUAUAAUUUCUGGGGUAUUUUUGAAAGAAAUUUUUUUAAAGUAUAAAUAAUCUGCAAAUAGAAAAGAUAAUGGAUUAGCAAAAAAAAAAUACUUCAUUAAUCUAAUAUGAGACAAGAAAGGAGACAAAAAGGGGAAUAAUGGGACAAAUAAAAAGUAAUAAAUGGUAGAUAUGUAACCAAAUAGAUCGAUGAUUACAUAACAUGUAUACGAACUAUUUUACUAAAAAGAAAAUCAUUAGACUACAUAAAGUAUAAAACUCAACAAUAUGAUGCUUACAAGAGACAUCAUUAAUUAAAAGGCAGAAAUGUUUUGAAAUAAAAUCUAUGGAAAAAGAACAAAACAUACCAUUCAAACACUGACCAAAAGACAAAACCGAUUUCAAGGUAAG
rnacentral:lncRNA from 1 species